rnacentral:misc_RNA from 1 species
GAUUUGGUGACUCUGAAACUUUUAGUUUUAGCUAGGAUAUAAUAUGAUUUUCAUUCGAUAAAUUAACAUAAACAAAUAAUAUAAAAACAUGAGUUCUUAAUUCGGCCACUAUGUUUCAUUUUUUUUUUGACAAGAAACAAAGUUUAUUGUAUCUGGGCCAUAUAAAUAACUUAAAAUUUCCAUAAACAGAAAGAAAAUGAAACAUAGAAAAAUAUAUAGAAUCAGCUAAUACUAAAAGUUUCAGAGUCACCAAAUCAUAAA